rnacentral:rRNA from 1 species
UAGCAUAAUCACUCGCUUAUUAAUUAUAAGAUAGAAUGAAUGAUUUAACAUUUUUAUUCUUAUUUUAAUUUAAUCAUUUAAAUUUUGAUUUUAAAUAAAAAUAUUUAAAUAUAAAAAAAAGACGAUAAGACCCUAUCGAACUUAACUUAAGUUAAGUUGGGACAACUAAUUAAUUAUAAUUUUAAUUUUUUAAAAAAAAAACUUAUCUAGUAUUAUUAAAUAAAUCAAGUUACCGUAGGGAUAACAGCGCAAUUAUUUUUAAAAGCUCUUAUUUAAAAAAUAGAUUACGACCUCGAUGUUGAAUAUAAACUCUUAUAUAAGCAAAAAUAUAUAAAGAAA